UGCAAGUCGAACGGAAAGGCCCUUCGGGGUACUCGAGUGGCGAACGGGUGAGUAACACGUGGGUGAUCUGCCCUGCACUUUGGGAUAAGCCUGGGAAACUGGGUCUAAUACCGAAUAUGACCGCAUGCUUCAUGGUGUGUGGUGGAAAGCUUUUGCGGUGUGGGAUGGGCCCGCGGCCUAUCAGCUUGUUGGUGGGGUAAUGGCCUACCAAGGCGACGACGGGUAGCCGGCCUGAGAGGGUGACCGGCCACACUGGGACUGAGAUACGGCCCAGACUCCUACGGGAGGCAGCAGUGGGGAAUAUUGCACAAUGGGCGCAAGCCUGAUGCAGCGACGCCGCGUGAGGGAUGACGGCCUUCGGGUUGUAAACCUCUUUCAAUAGGGACGAAGCGCAAGUGACGGUACCUAUAGAAGAAGGACCGGCCAACUACGUGCCAGCAGCCGCGGUAAUACGUAGGGUCCGAGCGUUGUCCGGAAUUACUGGGCGUAAAGAGCUCGUAGGUGGUUUGUCGCGUUGUUCGUGAAAACUCACAGCUUAACUGUGGGCGUGCGGGCGAUACGGGCAGACUAGAGUACUGCAGGGGAGACUGGAAUUCCUGGUGUAGCGGUGGAAUGCGCAGAUAUCAGGAGGAACACCGGUGGCGAAGGCGGGUCUCUGGGCAGUAACUGACGCUGAGGAGCGAAAGCGUGGGGAGCGAACAGGAUUAGAUACCCUGGUAGUCCACGCCGUAAACGGUGGGUACUAGGUGUGGGUUCCUUCCUUGGGAUCCGUGCCGUAGCUAACGCAUUAAGUACCCCGCCUGGGGAGUACGGCCGCAAGGCUAAAACUCAAAGAAAUUGACGGGGGCCCGCACAA
rnacentral:rRNA from 1 species